AAGAGAGAAGCAACGUGUCUUUAUUGUCCAGGACUGAGUCCAAAACCCAUCAGACCAAUAGAUCCAGGACUGAGUCCAAACCCCCAUCAGAACAACAGGUCCAGGACUGAGUCCAAACCCCCAUCAAACCAACUGGUCCAGGACUGAGUCCAAACCCCCAUCAGACCAACAGGUCCAGGACUGAGUCCAAAACCCAUCAGACCAACAGGUCCAGGACUGAGUCCAAACCCCCAUCAGACCAACAGGUCCAGGACUGAGUCCAAAACCCAUCAGACCAACAGGUCCAGGACUGAGUCCAAACCCCCAUCAGACCAACAGGUCCAGGACUGAGUCCAAACCCCCAUCAGACCAACAGGUCCAGGACUGAGUCCAAACCCCCAUCAGACCAACAGGUCCAGGACUUUGAGUCCAGACCCCCAUCAGACCAACAGUUCCAGGACUGAGUCUAAACCCACAUCAGACCAACAGGUCCAGUACUUAGUCCAAACCCCAUCAGACCAACAGGUCCAGGACUGAGUCCAAACCCCCAUCAGACCAACAGGUCCAGGACUUUGAGUCCAGACCCCCAUCAGACCAACAGUUCCAGGACUGAGUCUAAACCCACAUCAGACCAACAGGUCCAGUACUUAGUCCAAACCCCAUCAGACCAACAGGUCCAGGACUGAGUCCAAACCCCCAUCAGACCAACAGGUCCAGGAUUGAGUCCAAACCCACAUCAGACCAACAGGUCCAAGACUGAGUCCAAACCCCAAUCAGACCAACAGAUCCAGGACUGAGUCCAAACCCCAUCAGACAACAGAUCCAGGACUGAGUCCAAACCCCAUCAGACAACAGAUCCAGGACUGAGUCCAAACCCUAUCAGACCAACAGGUUUAGGAUUGAGUCCAAACUCCAUCAGACCAACAGAUCCAGUACUGAGUCCAAACUCCAUCAGAACAACAGGUCCAGUACUGAGUCCAAACCCCCAUCAGACCAACAGGUCCAGUACUGAGUCCAAACCCGAAUCAGACCAACAGGUCCAGGACUGAGUCCAAAUCCCCAUCAGACCAACAGAUCCAGGACUGAGUCCAAACCCCCAUCAGACCAACAGGUUUAGGAUUGAGUCCAAACUCCAUCAGACCAACAGAUCCAGUACUGAGUCCAAACUCCAUCAGACCAACAGAUCCAGUACUGAGUCCAAACUCCAUCAGACCAACAGAUCCAGUACUGAGUCCAAACCCCAUCAGACCAACAGGUCCAGGACUGAGUCCAAACCCCAAUCAGACCAACAGAUCCAGGACUGAGUCCAAACCCCCAUCAGACCAACAGGUUUAGGAUUGAUUCCAAACUCCAUCAGACCAACAGAUCCAGUACUGAGUCCAAACUCCAUCAGACCAACAGAUCCAGUACUGAGUCCAAACCCCCAUCAGACCAACAGUUCCAGGACUGAGUCCAAACUCCUUCAGACCAACAGUUCCAGGACUGAGUCCAAACUCCUUCAGACCAACAGAUCUAGGACUGAGUCCAAACCCCAUCAGACCAACAGGUCCAGGACUGAGUCCAGACCCCCAUCAGACCAACAGGUCCAGUAACACAUGGAUAUGAAGAUUGUAAGACAUCCUUUUCUAAACCUUAUAAAUGUGGUAUAUUUAAAUUAUUUGAUAAAGUUUGUGUUAAAAGUCUGUCAGUGUGAGGAGAACUGGUUUUAUUUAUCAUAUAUCAGGUGGUUCUGUCUGACUUAACCCGGGUCAGGACUUGGUUCUUAGACUGAUGAAGACAUUUAGUGUUACACUGUGUUUUAAGACUUUAAACAAAGCAGGUUUUUAAAAGGGCCAAAGAAAAGCUGCAGUGUUGGAGGAACCAGGUCU